rnacentral:rRNA from 1 species
UACGUAGGGUGCGAGCGUUGUCCGGAGUUAUUGGGCGUAAAGGGCUCGUAGGCGGUCCAUCGCGUCGGGAGUGAAAAGCUGGGGCUUAACCCCAGUCCUGCUUUCGAUACGGGUGGGCUAGAGGUAGGCAGGGGAGAAUGGAAUUCCUGGUGUAGCGGUGAAAUGCGCAGAGUAUCAGGAGGAACACCGAUGGCGAAGGCAGCUCUCUGGCCUCUUUACUGACGCUGAGGUGCGAAAGCGUGGGGAGCGAACGGG